rnacentral:miRNA from 1 species
GAGCAUGGUCUUGGCAAACACCUUGAUUUUGGACUUCUGGCCUCCAGAACUGUGAGAAAACAAAUUUCUGUUGUUUUAAGCCACCCAGAUUGUAAUAACUUGUUAUGGCAGCCCUAGAAA